AUUGAACGCUGGCGGCAUGCUUUACACAUGCAAGUCGAACGGCAGCGAGGAGAAGCUUGCUUCUCUGUCGGCGAGUGGCGAACGGGUGAGUAUAGCAUCGGAACGUGCCAAGUAGUGGGGGAUAACCAAACGAAAGUUUGGCUAAUACCGCGUAAGCUCUAAGGAGGAAAGUAGGGGACUUAAAUAAGGCCUUACGCUAUUUGAUCGGCCGAUGUCGGAUUAGCUAGUUGGUGGGGUAAUGGCUCACCAAGGCAAUGAUCCGCAGCGGGUCUGAGAGGACGAUCCGCCACACUGGGACUGAGACACGGCCCAGACUCCUACGGGGGGCAGCAGUGGGGAAUUUUGGACAAUGGGGGAAACCCUGAUCCAGCCAUGCCGCGUGUAUGAAGAAGGCCUUAGGGUUGUAAAGUACUUUUGUUAGGGAAGAAAAGCUAGUUUUUAAUAAAAAUUAGUGAUGACGGUACCUAAAGAAUAAGCACCGGCUAACUACGUG
rnacentral:rRNA from 1 species